rnacentral:rRNA from 1 species
UACGUAGGUGGCAAGCGUUGUCCGGAAUUACUGGGUGUAAAGGGAGCGUAGGCGGGAAAGCAAGUUGAAUGUUUAAGGUACGGGCUCAACCUGUACAAGCGUUCAAAACUGUCUUUCUUGAGUGGAGUAGAGGUAAGCGGAAUUCCUAGUGUAGCGGUGAAAUGCGUAAAUAUUAGGAGGAACACCAGUGGCGGAGGCGGCUUACUGGGCUUUAACUGACGCUGAGGCUCGAAAGCGUGGGUAGCAAACAGG